UGACUGGCCCGGUUGUCACCAGGGCACCAGAAGGCCAGAGAAACACGACUGAGUCACAGGGCAUGUGCAAUUUUGCGACCCACCAAGCCAAAGGCAGCCCACCACACCCUCAGCAUUUCUCCGUAUCUAGUGAAGUCUGUGACGGCAUGCCUCAAUAAAUUUGCUAUGAUUUAAGGC